AUGGAUUAUCAUCCUUAAGAGAGUUACAUAGCCAGUCAAACAGGAUCACCUCUGUAGAAAGAGGAUCUCUGGAUGGAUUAUCAUCCUUACAAAAGUUAUAUCUCGGUUAUAACAUGAUCACUUCUAUAGAAAAAGG